rnacentral:rRNA from 1 species
GAUGAACGCUGGCGGCGUGCCUAAUACAUACAAGUCGAGCGAACAGAUAAGGAGCUUGCUCCUUUGACGUUAGCGGCGGACGGGUGAGUAACACGUGGGUAACCUACCUAUAAGACUGGAAUAACUCCGGGAAACCGGGGCUAAUGCCGGAUAACAUUUAGAACCGCAUGGUUCUAAAGUGAAAGAUGGUUUUGCUAUCACUUAUAGAUGGACCCGCGCCGUAUUAGCUAGUUGGUAAGGUAACGGCUUACCAAGGCAACGAUACGUAGCCGACCUGAGAGGGUGAUCGGCCACACUGGAACUGAGACACGGUCCAGACUCCUACGGGAGGCAGCAGUAGGGAAUCUUCCGCAAUGGGCGAAAGCCUGACGGAGCAACGCCGCGUGAGUGAUGAAGGUCUUCGGAUCGUAAAACUCUGUUAUUAGGGAAGAACAAAUGUGUAAGUAACUGUGCACGUCUUGACGGUACCUAAUCAGAAAGCCACGGCUAACUACGUG